AUUGAACGCUGGCGGCAGGCUUAACACAUGCAAGUCGAGCGAGCGGCGGACGGGUGAGUAAUGUCUGGGAAACUGCCUGAGAGAGGGGGAUCACAACUAGAAACGGUAGCUAAUACCGCAUACCAUCAGAUGUGCCCAGAUGGGAUUAGCUAGGAGGUGGGGUAAUGGUUCACCUAGGCGACGAGCCCUAGCUGGUCUGAGAGAAUGACCAGCCACACUGGAAUUGAUACACGGCCCAGCCGCCUACGGGAGGCAGCAGUGGGGAAUAUUGCACAAUGGGCGCAAGCCUGAUGCAGCCAUGCCGCGUGUGUGAAGAAGGCCUUCGGGUUGUAAAGCACUUUCAGCGAGGAGGCGUUACUCGCAGAAGAAGCACCGGCUAACUCCGUGCCAGCAGCCGCGGUAAUAC
rnacentral:rRNA from 1 species